UACGGAGGGUGCGAGCGUUGUUCGGAAUUACUGGGCGUAAAGGGCGCGUAGGCGGUUAUGUAAGUCAGAUGUGAAAUCCUUUGGCUCAACCGAAGAAUUGCAUUUGAUACUGCAUGACUCGAGUGCGGGAGAGGGAAACGGAAUUCCCGGUGUAGAGGUGAAAUUCGUAGAUAUCGGGAGGAACACCGGUGGCGAAGGCGGUUUCCUGGUCCGACACUGACGCUGAGGCGCGAAAGCGUGGGGAGCAAACAGG
rnacentral:rRNA from 2 species